CCCCCCCCCCCCGGUUUAAUAUAAUAGAAUUUAAAAUGCUCAAAACCUAAUAACAUUUGUCGAGCAUCCCUAAUAUAUCCACUGAUUUUCAAUCUGUCAAUCCCGGCAUGUUUGAGUUUGGAGAUGACCAUUGCUGAAUCCCCUUCUAGCUCCACCCGUCGAAGCCCUAGAUCCCUGGCAAAUUGAACAGCAUGCACACAGGCCAAUGCCUCCGCAACCGCCGCAUCAGAAUGGAGAUGACCAUAGAAUCCAGCAUCAAAGUUUACUCGAACCCACGUGUCAAUUGGAGGCUUCUAAACCAACAAGUCAGUAGUCUCCGAAUAUACGCGCUCCUUCAACAAAGAAUCCAUCUCUCUGGCAUAACCCAGCACAAAGAUAAGUAAAUCCUAACUAGAUUGAUAGAUUCCCUCAUGAAUGAUUCCAAAUAGCCCAAAUGGUGAUGAUGGAUAAUUGAGUUUGCUUCUCAUCCUUCCCAAACAGUUGUCCUAUCCAUGCAAUGGGUACAUCAACUAAAUCAUCUGAAAGAGUCCAAUUAAAACCCCCAAUUGUUGUCAAAUUUCUAUUACUCCAGGACAGUCUUUGCACGCAUGAAGAUUUGUUUCUAGACCAAUACCGCACCGCGGGUGCAUUUUCUAUCCACCCCACUCUUGCGUUGAAAUAGAUUAGAUUUUGUGGGGAUGUAAUUGUUAAUAAAUCGCUAGCAUGUAAUUUUCAUAUUUUCAGGCACAUGAGCCUCCCAUAAUUUUCUGUAAAUAAUUCUUGUAUCCUGCCCAAUGUUGUUGUAUUUGUCUCCUCCGUCCUUGGGAAACCCCGCAGCAGCAAUCUGUACCUACUGCAGACAGUAUACUCCCCAGACCCUUCCGGAUACCAUUUCCACCGAUCGUUCAAGUCAUGAGAAGCUAAUGGGAUACUCAAGAUUUUAUCCACCUCUUGGUUGAUUCCCAGGAAGCCAUACAUCUUCCAAUAUUGAUAUCGAAUGCCCAUUUCCAACAUGUCAACCACAACUCAUCUGUAAAAGGCCCUUUGCAGCCCAAAUACUCCACCAAACCAAAGAAGGUUCACAGAUGAGAAAUGGGGUGAAACUGCAAUUGAAACUUGGGAGGAGUUUCAAAAGGAGUUGAAAAAUCAGUUUUACCCAUAGUACACUAAGGAGGAGGCUUGGACUAAGUUGUAUUGGCUUAAGGAACACGACACUGCUCAAAAGUAUGCCAAAAACUUAAAUGAAUUUAUGCUUCAAAUCUCUGACCUAAGUGAGAAAGAAGCAUUCCACCAGUUUAAGCAUGGGUUGAAGCCUUGGGCAAAACAGGAGUUGUGCUGACAAAGGCAUCACCAAACUUACCAUGUCCAUGGCUGAGGCAGAGUCUUUUUCGAGCUUGGUCCAAGGAAAAACAAGUUCGAGUUUUCCAAGCCCAAAGAGACGGGCAAUGAUGGGGAAGACCAUGAGGAAGAACAAGAUCAAAAUGAAAACGGUGAAAAUGGUAAAAACAAUGGUAAUGAAAAAGCACAUAAUGAAAGCCUAACAACAAAUCGAGGGGCAGGUAAAUUAUGUUGUUAAUGGGAAACCACAUAAUGGUGGUAAUGGUGCUAAUUACAGUAUUUAGAAUAAUUUAAUUUAACGUUUUUCAUACAGAUGAUUAAUUUUGAAUGCCCACAUGAAGAAACAUGCAUUCUAUAGAUUUUAAGCAAAUUUUUACGAUGAUUGCAACAAAGCAUAAAGUAGGAAAAUUAUCUUAUGAACUG